rnacentral:rRNA from 1 species
GACGAACGCUGGCGGCGUGCCUAAUACAUGCAAGUCGAGCGCAGGAAACUGACGGAACUCUUCGGAGGGAAGGCAGUGGAAUGAGCGGCGGACGGGUGAGUAACACGUAAGGAACCUGCCUCAAGGAUUGGGAUAACUCCGAGAAAUCGGAGCUAAUACCGGAUAGUUCAUCGGACCGCAUGGUCCGUUGAUGAAAGGCGCUCCGGCGUCACCUUGAGAUGGCCUUGCGGUGCAUUAGCUAGUUGGUGGGGUAACGGCCCACCAAGGCGACGAGGCAUAGCCGACCUGAGAGGGUGAUCGGCCACACUGGGACUGAGACACGGCCCAGACUCCUACGGGAGGCAGCAGUAGGGAAUCUUCCACAAUGGACGAAAGUCUGAUGGAGCAACGCCGCGUGAGUGAUGAAGGUUUUCGGAUCGUAAAACUCUGCUGUAAGGGAAGAACACGUACGAGAGGGAAUGCUCGUACCUUGACGGUACCUUACGAGAAAGCCACGGCUAACUACGUGCCAGCCGCCGCCGUAAUAC